rnacentral:rRNA from 1 species
CAGUAGCCGCGGGAAUACGGAGGAUCCAAGCGUUAUCCGGAAUCAUUGGGUUUAAAGGGUCCGUAGGCGGUCUUGUAAGUCAGUGGUGAAAGCCCAUCGCUCAACGGUGGAACGGCCAUUGAUACUGCAGGACUUGAAUUAUUGGGAAGUAACUAGAAUAUGUAGUGUAGCGGUGAAAUGCUUAGAGAUUACAUGGAAUACCAAUUGCGAAGGCAGGUUACUACCAAUUGAUUGACGCUGAUGGACGAAAGCGUGGGUAGCGAACAGGAUUAGAGACCCCUGUAGUCCCUGUCUCUUAUAA